AUACGGAGGGGGCAAGCGUUACUCGGAAUCACUGGGCGUAAAGCGCGCGCAGGCGGUCUUUUAAGUUGGAUGUGAAAGCCUACGGCUCAACCGUAGAACUGCAUCCAAAACUAUUAGACUAGAGUGUGGGAGAGGAAGAUGGAAUUAGUUGUGUAGGGGUAAAAUCCGUAGAGAUAACUAGGAAUACCAAAAGCGAAGGCAAUCUUCUGGAACACUACUGACGCUGAGGCGCGAAAGCGUGGGGAGCAAACAGGAUUAGAAACCCCUGUAGUCC
rnacentral:rRNA from 1 species